GAGACAAGCAUAUGACUACUGGCAGGAUCAACCAGGUAGCAUUCCUCAUCGACGUCGAUCUACGCAUGAGCCGAGCCAAGAGACUCCGCCAUAACGGGAACGAACGUCGUCCGCACGAAGCGUCGAACGCUUUUUAUUUCGGAACAAAUAGAGGUCGGGGACCUCGUACCGCAUUGCUGUUCCGCAUCCGAGAGAACAAGCACUGCGACAUGGUCCAACGAGUACAAGCGCUGAGAGCGCACGAAUCGUGGAACACAUCGAGUGCUACGUUGUCCGCCCCGCACCGCAUCCCCUUAGGGCGCAGCACGAGAAGGAAAAGGGUGGUCGAGACAACAUCAUGCCUUCUCGAUAGGUAUACAACACAGGAAACCGACGUCGGUCAAGGCAACCCGCAACUUGAACCAAUAAUUGAAGAGGCUUGCACGAGAUGUCGUCGCUGCCCGAGCAGGGAACCGACAUGCCCAUAAAAGCCAAUCACCACUCACGCGCUCUAU
rnacentral:misc_RNA from 1 species